GUCUACGGCCAUGCUACCCUGAACAAGCCCGAUCCUGUCUGAUCUCAGAAGCUAAGCAGGGUCAGGCCUGGUUAGUACUUGGAUGGGAGACCACCUAGGAAGACCGGGCGCUGUAGGCG
rnacentral:rRNA from 1 species